GACGAACGCUGGCGGCGUGCUUAACACAUGCAAGUCGAACGGGAUUUAGUAAACAGAAACCUCGGUGGAAGAUUACUAAUGAGAGUGGCGAACGGGUGAGUAACGCGUGAGCAACCUGCCUAUGACAGUGGGAUAGCCUCGGGAAACCGGGAUUAAUACCACAUAAAAUCGUAGAAACACAUGUUUUAACGGUCAAAGAUUUAUCGGUCAUAGAUGGGCUCGCGUCUGAUUAGCUAGUUGGUGAGAUAACAGCCCACCAAGGCGACGAUCAGUAGCCGGUCUGAGAGGAUGAACGGCCACAUUGGAACUGAGACACGGUCCAAACUCCUACGGGAGGCAGCAGUGGGGAAUAUUGCACAAUGGGGGAAACCCUGAUGCAGCGACGCCGCGUGAACGAAGAAGGUAUUCGUAUCGUAAAGUUCUGUCCUAUGGGAAGAUAAUGACAGUACCAUAGAAGAAAGCUCCGGCUAAAUACGUG
rnacentral:rRNA from 1 species